UACGUAGGAUCCAAGCGUUAUCCGGAUUUACUGGGCGUAAAGAGUUGCGUAGGUGGCAGAGUAAGUUAGUAGUGAAAGCGUGUGGCUCAACCAUACAUCCAUUACUAAAACUACUCAGCUUGAGAAUGAGAGAGGUUACUAGAAUUCCUAGUGUAGGAGUGAAAUCCGUAGAUAUUAGGAGGAAUACCGAUGGCGUAGGCAGGUAACUGGCUCAUUUCUGACACUAAGGCACGAAAGCGUGGGGAGCAAACGGG
rnacentral:rRNA from 1 species